rnacentral:rRNA from 1 species
CGCUGGCGGCAUGCUCACACAUGCAAGAAAAACGGUAACGCGGGGCAACCUGGCGACGAGUGGCGAACGGGUUACCAUACAUCGGAACGUGCCCAGUAGUGGGGGCCACCCCGGCGAAAGCCGGAUUAAUACCGCAUACGACCUACGGGUGAAAGGGGGGGAUCGCAAGACCUCUCGCUAUUGGAGCGGCCGAUGUCAGAUUAGCUAGUUGGUGGGGUAAAGGGGUAGAAAGGNNACAAUCUGUAGCUGGUCUGAGAGGAUGAUCAGCCACACUGGGACUGAGACACGGCCCAGACUCCUACGGGAGGCAGCAAUGGG